AACGCACAUUGCACUCUGUUUGCGCAGAGUAUGCCUGUUUGAGAAUCUAUAGUAUUCUUUUUUCCAAUUUUUAUUUGUUUAAAUUUUGGGAAAGUUUUGCGGAUUUUGGGUAAAAACCAAUUCUGUUAAAUCUAUAGUCAUUGUUUUUAUAGUAAAAUGUUUGAAGUUUCUAUAAAAAACUUUGCAGAAAUGUAUUUGAAUGAACCUACCAGUUCUCCCUAUACAAAUUAAGCAAAGAGAAAUUAGUUUUCUAUUAAAAAAAAUGCUCAUAACCAUAUAUUAAAAGAAAGAAAUUUUUUUUGAACCAUGGUCUCAAAUCAGGUAGGAUUACCCGCUGAACUUAA
rnacentral:misc_RNA from 1 species